CGCCGCCGUCGUUGUCGCCGUUCGCUCCGCACAACAAGUUACCAGCCCUUCGGAGAGGAGGAAGGAGGAUCCAGAGAGCACCCACUAGGUACCUGGAAGUCUUUGCCACUGAAUGAAUAUGGAGAGUGCUGGUCUCCCAAAGAAGAUGCAGGCGUUGCCCAUUCUGAAGAAUGAAGGGAGGCUCUGAUCACAGGAGGCUGUCAUUCCAUAGUCCACUCUGGGACCUCAGAUGAUGGGAAGAUACUACCUACAAUCAGGGCGAGCCUUUUCUCCUUAAUCAAACCUCUCUACAAACACAUCAGCAGCAUGAGAAGUAUGUCUCUUAGGUAAUUCCCAAUCUAGUUGAGUUGACAUUGAAGAGUAAGCAUCACCCCCCUCCUUGUGUUCAACAGUGUUAAUUAUUCUCUUUAAUCAUAAGGGCCACAAGGAAUAGGAGGAGAUCUAAGACAGCUAUUCUCAAGCUGUGGUUAGAGACUCCUCUGGGGGUCAAAUGACCCUUUCACAGGGGUGGCAUGUCAGAUAUCCUGCGUAUCAAACAUUUGCAUUAUAAUUCAUAACUAGCAAAAUUGCAGUUAUGAAGUAGCGAUGGUUGGAGGUCAACACAACAUGAAGAACUAUAUAAAAGGGUCAUAGCAUUAGGAAGGCUGAGAACCACUGGUCUAAGAUGUGAAGCUGUCCCUCCUUCCUGUGAUCUUCCAGUUUAUAGCAAGCAAGACUGAUAAUGAUAAGUUAGGUAGCAGCAGGUAAGCAUGCUUUUAAUACUAUGACUCUUCCCUGGCUUAAACUCUUUCCUGUCUAUGGCUAUAACUGGGAGGUUUCCUCUAACAGUGCCUGACACAAGUCAUUCUAUGAGUGUCAUGUCCUCUGUCAAGGAGAAAGCUAUAGAAAAGGGUCUUAGGCAGGAAAUGUUAAUAUAAUUGGACUCAGAAGAGUCUGUUAAGUAGAAGAUUCUUAUCUCAAAGAUUGUGAAUGCCAGGAGCCCUAUGGAGAUGUAAUUGUAGAGGAAUUGACUGUGAGAACAUAUUAGCAUUAUCUUCAAGCUAAAUAUGAGAUUACUUCCCUUCCACAGAUAUCAAAAAGUCACAUAUUAUUAUAAGUAAUAUCCUAAAGUAAUACUGAAUUUCUAUGUGUGUGUAUUGUUAUAUAUGAAUAUAUAUGUAUUCAUAUAUAACCACAGUCAACUGUAGUUAAUGUACAACAAGUAAUUUGAAGACAUUCAUAUAUAUUUUUUACAUUCAAAUGUUGGUAACUUCUAUUAGUUAGCUGGGGCUGCCAUAAAAAAGAACAACAAACAAACAAACAAACAAAAAACAAACCAAAACUGUAGGUUGGGUGACUCCAAUGACAGAUAUUCUUCCUAGCAGUUCUGAAAUCUAGAAAGAUAAAAUUAAGGUAGAGAGUUGGUAAUGUGAAGGUUAACAUUGCACUCAGACUUAAUAUGCUUGAGAAACCAAAAAGCGAAAAAUGCCUCUAACAUCUAAGUCCCUGACUUGUACAGGUUGUACUCUAUCAACCCACUUCCUUUUUUUCCCCUAAUGUUAAAGACUAUUCUUAAAAUUGGCUGAUUUUGUAAAAUUUGCUGUUCAAAUGGUCAUAAGACUAACUGCUAUUUCUGCUUUUAUAAUCAAACUUGCUUACUCUGCUCAAUGACUGGGGCAACUGCAAGAUAUAUACAUAUUAAAAUUAGGCAAAAUAUGUGUGCCCUAGGAUAUGGCUAGAAACUGCAUCUAGGGAACGAUCUGGGUUGCAGUAGUCCUGGUGCCAUUACUAACGAGUGCCAGUAUUUAAUAAAGCCUCUAAUUAAAUACUGGAACUAAAUUAAUACUAAUUAGUAAUACCAAAACACCUAAUUUAAUAAUCUAAAUUAAUACUAAAACAUCUAAUACUAAAACCAAAACUUGAGUCAGACUGGUGAAUCUCUGAACAACCCCAGUCCCACAACAGUUUCUGCUGAGGCCAUCUUCCUAGUUUAUGGAUGUCUCCCUUAACACACAUGUCAUUGUAUGUGAGGACAGAGAGUAGGCAGG